AAUGAACGCUGCCAGCAUGCUUAACACAUGCAAGUCAACUGUGGCGGACGGGUGAGUAACGCGUAAAGAACUUGCCUCACAGAUAGGGACAACCUUUUGGAACGAAUGCUCAUACCGGAUACUGUGAGAGAGCUUUGCGUCCGAUUAGCUAGUUGGAGAGGUAACGGCUCACCAAGGCGAGGAUGGGUAGCCGGCCUGAGAGGGUGAUCGGGCACAAGGGGCCUGGGACACGGCCAGUACUCCUACGUGAGGCAGCAGCGGGAAACAGUGAACGACGGACCAAAGUCUGAUGAAGCAAUUCGGGGUGUACGAUGAAGUUUUCGGAAGGUAAAGUGCUUGCAGUAGGGAAGCGUUACCAACAGAAGAAGCGACGGCUAAAUACGUGCCAGCAGCCGCGGUAAUUC
rnacentral:rRNA from 1 species